GACAAUGUGCUGAUGAUUUGCUAAAAAAAUUGCUGCUGAUUGUGAUGGGAUUUUAUGGACUAGUGGAUCUAUGUAGAUAUAAAUAGAUGUGUUCUCCAAUUAGAAUUGAGAGAAUCAUUUGAAGAGCAGAUGCAGAGCAGGAAUCUCUAUCGAAACAAUGUGCUGAUGAUUUGCUAAAAAAAAUUCUGCUGAUUGUGAUGGGAGUUUGUGGACUAGUGGAUCUCUGUAGAUAUAAAUAGAUGUGGUCUCCAAUUAGAAUUGAGAGAAUGAUUUGAAGAGCAGAAACAAAAAAGAUGGGUAGAUCUUUUAGGUUUAAUUUGAAGCAAUGAAAAAACAUCAUGUGAUUUAAGAAGUCUUGUGUGUUGUGUUUAUAACGUUUCUGCAAGAUUUACUUAAGGGAUGAUGAAGGAUUAGGAAGAUAAACAAAGAGUGCAAGCAAGACCUGUACAAUUGUGUUUCCCUCUGUUUUUUUUUUCAUCUCUUUGAAUUUGCAAUAGAGACAUUUGAUUUCAUGAUGAUUUAUGUGAUUGAGAAUUACUGAAUUAUGCAAGUAGGUGAUACGUCUCAUGAAUAAAUUACUCCAAUCAUAUACUCAAUUGUAUAUUUCAGGAAAAAUUGUCAUUUUCCAAAAUUAUUAUGAAAAUAUCCAAAAAGGUUGAUGAGUCAUAAUCAUAAUUGGCUUUAUU
rnacentral:lncRNA from 1 species